rnacentral:lncRNA from 1 species
UUUUUGACAUAUUCUACUUAAAAUAUUUUUACAUAGUACAAAACUAUAGAUCAUACUCCCCAAAACGGCAAUACACAGAGAAUACUUCUUUUGCUCGGUUGAUUAGUUCGAUCUAAAAUGGUUGAUGACUCCGAUCUAGAAUGCUACCUUUUGAUUUUAAUUUUGCUCUUAAACUUUGGGAUUUCUUCAACGAUUAUUUCGACGGUGACAAAUCUUCUCUUUCUCUUUUUGAUUUUUCUGUUUUGAUUUAGAUCUGGAUAUUAUUUUGUCAUUCUUUUGUGAUUAUUAUUUGUAAAUAUUGUUAACGUUUAUUGGGUAUGUAUAUAUAAUGCGUUUGGAAAGGGGUUAAAUCUACUUUUCCCCACUCUACUCGACCUCGGUUUACAAAUGCAUCACUGGACUAAAAAAUUUUACGGUCAACUCAUUGAACUGUAUUUUUUUUUCAAAAAUUUUAAAAACCGUCUAUUCCGUUAAAAAUUUAGCAGAAAGUCUACAUGGCACCAAUUACGUGGAAUAUAAUAUCCACCUUAGAAAAAAAUAUAUAUAUUAAUAAUAAGAUCCACCUUAGAAAGUCUACAUGUCACCAAUUCCGUUUUCAAGCUUAGACUCUUCUCUUUUUUUUAAUAACAAAUAAUUAAAUAAAUUAAUAAUAAAAUAUAUUAAUUAAAUAAAACUUUUAAAUCAUAGAAGAUAGUAGAUAUCAUGCUCUACUUGACUCUUCUAAUAGAUUGCUUAUUCCGCUGCAAUUGUUGAUCUAAAACUUGUUGUCUAUUGUAUUCUAUCAGUUGUUAUACUGUUGAAGGCUAAGGAUAAUUUAUUCUGCAUUAUCUUAGUCAUAAUAUUUCUUACUGGGCUAGUUGAGCUCACCCUUUUCUUUCACUGUUCUCUACAGAAAAUGAGAAUAUAGCUGGGACUAGUCGGGGAAUGGAUUGACGGUCCAGAUGGUUGUUUUAGUAGUCCUUACUAUUCUAUGAAAUAGUGUGAUAAUAAUUGUAAUUAGAUGAAUUUGAGUUUGGAUAGACAAUAUCCGUGUUAAAACUCUCAGCUAUGUUUUAUCGUAUUUUACACGAUAAUUGUAUAAUUAAGUUAUAGUUUUAUUAUGUACCAUGUAUUUGGCGACUCAGAAUGGGUGAUGUAUACCUAUUUUGAGGGUGUCACAGUUGGUAUCAAAGCUUUGGGAUAUGAUCCAUGGCUAAGAUGUGAGGCUAAAACUAGAAGUGGAUAGACGAGUAAAUACUUCGCUAGUAUGACCUACUUAAGCUUAUUUGUUAUUUAAUGUUGAGAUAAGCAAUGGAGCACAUGACACCGUUGAGUCACCGACGAUCAAUAACCAGAAUAAUGUGCAUCAGAAAGGCAAUAAUCCUCUUGUAAAUAACAACACCGACGAAAUGGCGAACGAUGGUACGUUUAAGAGUUUUCUGGAAUUUAUGCAAAAUCAGACGAGAGAGACUUUUGUUCAAAAUGCAG